GUCCCCUUCUUCUUCCACGCUAACCACCUCUUCUCUGUUCCAUCUUCCACGCUCCACUUCUCUAGAUAAAGAUCUAGAGAUAGGCCUUAGAGAGAGAGAAAGAAAAUCAAGAAGGAGUUCUUAAUUUUUUUUGAUGGUUAGGAUGAAUCUCCAAGAUCCUAUACAGGACUAUAUCAAGUAGAUUCAAGUAAAGGACCAUAAUCCAAGCAGAAGAACAAAGCCUGCAAGAGAGCUCGCACCCUAGAGAUUUUGGAGUUCUAAUCGAGAUAUCUCUGUGUGGAUAUCAAC
rnacentral:lncRNA from 1 species